rnacentral:rRNA from 1 species
UACGUAGGGUGCGAGCGUUAAUCGGAAUUACUGGGCGUAAAGCGUGCGCAGGCGGUUUUUUAAGCCAGGUGUGAAAUCCCCGGGCUCAACCUGGGAAUGGCAUUUGGGACUGCAAGGCUGGAGUGCGGCAGAGGAGACUGGAAUUCCUGGUGUAGCAGUGAAAUGCGUAGAUAUCAGGAGGAAUACCGAUGGCGAAGGCAGGUCUCUGGGCUGACACUGACGCUCAUGCACGAAAGCGUGGGGAGCAAACAGG